rnacentral:rRNA from 1 species
CACGUAGGGCGCAAGCGUUGUCCGGAAUUAUUGGGCGUAAAGAGCUCGUAGGCGGUCUGUUGCGUCCGCUGUGAAAACCCGGGGCUUAACCCCUGGCUUGCAGUGGAUACGGACAGACUAGAGGUAGGUAGGGGAGAAUGGAAUUCCCGGUGUAGCGGUGAAAUGCGCAGAUAUCGGGAGGAACACCGGUGGCGAAGGCGGUUCUCUGGGCCUACCUGACGCUGAGGAGCGAAAGCGUGGGGAGCGAACAGG